UGGGUUGUAGCUCAGUGGUAAAGCGCUUACCUCACAUGUGUGAGGCACUGGGUUUGAUCCUCAGCACCACAU
rfam:Ictidomys tridecemlineatus contig048725, whole genome shotgun sequence.